rnacentral:rRNA from 1 species
AUUGAGAGUUUGAUCCUGGCUCAGGACGAACGCUGGCGGCGUGCUUAACACAUGCAAGUCGAGCGAUGAAGCUCCUUCGGGAGUGGAUUAGCGGCGGACGGGUGAGUAACACGUGGGUAACCUGCCUCAUAGAGGGGAAUAGCCUUUCGAAAGGAAGAUUA